rnacentral:rRNA from 1 species
UACAGAGGUCUCAAGCGUUGUUCGGAUUCAUUGGGCGUAAAGGGUGCGUAGGUGGCGCGGUAAGUCGGGUGUGAAAUCUCGGAGCUUAACUCCGAAAUUGCAUUCGAUACUGCCGUGCUCGAGGACUGGAGAGGAGACUGGAAUUCAUGGUGUAGCAGUGAAAUGCGUAGAGAUCAUGAGGAAGACCAGUGGCGAAGGCGGGUCUCUGGACAGUUCCUGACACUGAGGCACGAAGGCCAGGGGAGCAGACGGG